UGUGCGGCUGGUCGACUGCAGGAAAACACCAGGGCGGAGUGGAACUGUGAGAGAAGGACACGAGGAGGAGGGAGAUUUGAUUUCAUCAAGGGACAGCACUAACCAUUCUCUCAGUUGGAGGGCUUGUCAUCUCGGCGCCUCAACAACAUCGUAUUGCUGACGAGACAGAGAAGUGUCUCUAUCAAUCAGAACACCCCAAGAAACACCUGCAGAGAUGUAUAGGGAAGAAACCUCAAUACUGCUGCUCUGACUGUAGGAAGAGUUUCACUAGCAGGAGUGACUUCAUUAUUCACCAGUGGAUUCACACCCAAGAGAAACCGUACUGCUGCUCUCAGUGUGGGAAGAGUUUCACUGCUUCUUAACGCCUUCCAAUCUCAUCUGCAAAUUCAUGCAGGGGAGAGGCCUUACCCUUGCCUUGAUUGUGAAAAGAGCUCCAAUCAGUCAAGCAACCUGACUACACACCAGCUAACACAAACUGUAGAGAAGCCUUAUAGCUGUGAUCAGUGUGGAAAGAGCUUUGCUGUAGCUUCCACCCUGAGUAGACACCAGGUACACACACUGAGAGAAGCCUUAUAGCUGUGAUCAGUGUGGGAAAAGCUUUGCUGUAGUUUCUUCCCUGAUAGACACCAUCGAACACACACUGGAGAGAAGCCUUAUAGCUGUUAUCAGUGUGGGAAGAGCUUUGCUGUAUCAGAAAAACUAACUAUACACCAGCGAACACACACAGGAGAGAAGCCUUAUAGCUGUGAUCAGUGUGGGAAGAGCUUUGCUGUAGUUUCCUCCCUGAUUAGACACCAUCGAACACACACUGG